rnacentral:rRNA from 1 species
UACGAAGGGGGCUAGCGUUGCUCGGAAUCACUGGGCGUAAAGCGCACGUAGGCGGAUUGCUAAGUCAGGGGUGAAAUCCUGGAGCUCAACUCCAGAACUGCCUUUGAUACUGGCGAUCUCGAGUUCGGGAGAGGUGAGUGGAACUGCGAGUGUAGAGGUGAAAUUCGUAGAUAUUGGGAAGAACACCGGUGGCGAAGGCGGCUCUCUGGACCGAUACUGACGCUGAGGCGCGAAAGCGUGGGGAGCAAACAGG